AAAAAAACACGCAGCCCGAUCCAGAUCCCCAACCUCCUCUCCUCUCCCAACGCACUCGCCGUCGGCCUCCCUUCCACCUCCUCUCCUCCGUCCGCCCGCCGUCCCCACCAAGCACCACCCGUCCGCUACCGCCACCACCUCCCUCUCCCUCUCCACCUGCGCGUGUCGCCUCCCCCAGCGCCCCGCCCCCCUCGUCGUCUCCUCUGGCGGACGGGGUCGGCCCCGCGGCGACGACGCGAGGCGAUGUGUACCUGGGGUGGCAGCUCAUGGCCGCGGCCGCGGCGGGCGCCCCCGCGCGCGCUAGAGGAGACCAAGCAGCGGCAGAGCAGGGAGCUCGCCUCUCCCUGGAAGCCGCCAUGGAGCGCCUCUGCAGCUCUCCCGAAACCCUUGACGCCGUUUUCCGCGCCCAAGCAGCGCCAGAGGAGGGAGCGAGCGCCGCUGUAGCUCUCCCGAAACCCUAGCCGCAGGUCAGGUCAGGCCGGCUUCGAUCUGGUCACCCUGGCGAAGAAGACGCCCUCCGGCGUCGCCUGCUGCUACGGCUGCGGAGGGGUCCCCCGGCCACGUCGAGCCGGCCACCUAUGACCUGAGGCGUACGAUUCGCUAGAUCUGAACGGGAACAUCACCAUAAAAUGGGAUAUUAUGUCGUGGACUCCUGAUGGUUAUGUUGUGAGUCUAUGAAUUAGGCCAGCAUUGGUUUUUACUGAGGUUUUGAUGACCUCAACAAGUAAGUAGCAUGGCUAGUGAUUGGCUACAUACAAACUCAGCUACAAGCAGUAUAUAUACAUAUAGUGGACUACUGGACUCAAGUGCAGUGAUCAGCAGAUUGUGGAUAAUAAUCUGGUCACCCUUUGGUGGACCAGGCGGAGAGCUUCGCGGAGGAGGACCCACUGGAGCCGGCACUUCACGGUUUUGAGAUCUUUGCUUUCCCAUGCAACCAGUUUGGUGCGCAGGAACUUGGCAUUGAUAAGGAAAUUGUUCAGAUUGCCUGCAUGCUAAGUAUCUGACUUCUGACAAGGGUUCUGGUAGCGACGAUGACGGUCGUCGAGAGGUUCAUGGACUGGACGGUGUCGUGGCAGCCGAUGUACAGAGAAGCGAAGCUGCUGCUCAUUCUCUACCUCCGUCCGCUGGUGGCGAGGCACAAGGACGACAUCGACCAGUCCAGUUUGAGCUGAGGGCCAGAACGAGGGACGUGACCACGUCACAACUCAAGGCAGCGGCUGCCGUCAGUCAGGUGUGGCUCUUCGAGGCUAUCCAAUGUGUUUCGUCGCCGCUGCAGGCCGCGAGAUCAGGCCGGGCAGGCGCAGGCGCCGCACAUUGACGACUGGUCCAAUUUUCGGAUCGGGCCCUAACAACUUACAUAGGUAGUUGCUUAUGUAACUCUGCGAUAUAAUGGAAUUAUACAUGAGUUGCUGCUACAAGAAGAAACGUAGUUGCUUAUGUAACUGUCCGAUAGAAUGAAAUUAUACAUGAGUUGCUGCUACAAUGAGGAACUGGA